GGCUGCUGUUCUCGCCGGAGUUGUGCGUCGUCGCUAGCCCAUGCGCCCCCCUGUGCGAUGGGGGGAAGCAGUGUGGGGCUGGGGACUUUCGUUGUGUUUGCAUCACGCAGGGUUGCUGCUGAGCCAUGAGGGUGGGGGGCAAUGCAGCGUGAUCUGACGGUUAUACAAAAUGCAAUCCAACAAUGCGCAGGCGCCACAAGUAAAAGAUGAACGGUUGUCUCAAAACAAAACAAAAAAGUAAAAGAUCAACGGAAGCAUUUUCUCAGUCAAGAAAAAGCAGAAAAGAAUGGGUCCUCUGGAGCACAAUUGCACAAACCCCCCACUCUAAAUAAAAUGCACAACUUUCUUGAAUACCAAAUGGUGGCCUUGCUGCCAUGCAUGGUAGCUGCACGUAACAGUUUGGAUUCAGACAGAGUAGAAUUGUGAUUAUGAGAUGGACCCAUUGUCCUUUAUAGCUCGUUUGGAUCCACUAUAAUUGGACACAAUUCCUUCCAUGAACCGAGAAUUUAAACUACCCCUUGGUGAAGUACUCCUAUUAAAAGAACAGGCGACACUUUGGACAUGGAUACGAUCUCCAACAUGCAAUUUCAUCAUUACUUUCGAAAUCAAUAUGAUAGUAUGAAAUGAAAAUUAUGAAAACAUGGUUUGUGAGCCAUGCCAUCUUACAAUAUCAUUUUCACUUGCCUAUGUAAGUUGGACUACAUCAUUUUCUAAAACGGUCAUGUAUUUCUGAACAGAGUAUUAACAGAUGCUCAACAAUGUAUGAAUGUAGUUACUCUUGCAAUUAUCAUUUAAAAUUCUGCAGGCCAUAUUUUGUACUCUAGGGACAGCUUAUCACACCCUAGGUGCUUUGUUACCACGAAGUUUCGGCACUUCGCAGUUUGAACUGGUUUCCACUAGAACCAAAAAAUUAUUGAAUGUAACAAGUGUGCCAAUUACUCCGGUCCUCGGGAAAGAAUAGUAUAAAGCAAAUGCCAUUUAUAGUAUAAAGCAAAAAAUAUUUUUAUAUAUGCCAAGUAUCUCUAUUUAGAGACAUUAAAACUAUGCAGUUUUCCAGCCCUCUCAGGCCAUUGGCGUUAACAGUCGUUGGAUCCUUAGUUUGGUGCAUUUGUGGCCGUCAGAUUUGCUCUCGAUCGCCCUUAAUCAGCCCCAGUUUGCUGUGAUCGAGCGCCAACAGUUAUGGGCCGCUGCUCUGGUCGCAUUUUUCCGCUUCUAUGGUAAACUCGGCCUAAUGGGCCUUUGCACACUUCCGGGCCUCUACCAGCGUAAGUGUUUUUUUUUCAAAACAAAAAAAAUGGUGUCGAUCGGCGGAGUCACGUGCCUCCCAUCCCUUCGCCUGGCGGCCUCCUGAGGCUACCGACUUGGGUGACCGCGGAUGCCGGGCCAGAGCAACGGAUCCAUGGAGACUGCGCUGGUUCAGGCAGCGCCUCGCCUGGGGUCCGCUCGAUUUAAUCGACCCGUUGUGUUGCACGGCGCGGCAGGAUGGUCUGUUGCAGAAAACAUGGCAUGCGCCCUUUGAAGUUCUAUCGCCAACCCGACGAUGAUUGAUUGAGAGUUUAAUCAGUCAUUACUACCAAUCGGUGCGCGAGCUGCUGGUUACUGUAGGUCAGUUACAAUUGGUAUUCAUAAUUUUUAUUCAAUAUAUGGACGCCCAUAUAAUCCCAACCUUUCCACUGCAUGUUCCGCAAAUCAUUCUCUACCAACUAUGGGUGAUUUUUAGGUCUACAAUUCAUUCCAAUUCUCUCUCCUUCCUGCAUCUCCUCUUCCCCCAAUUCUUCAUCUUUAGAAUUUGAUUUGUUUAUGAUGUUCUUUGUGCUGACAAAAAAAAAUGCAGGUUCUGUACACGGACAAAUUCGAGCAACAUACUUUCUGUUCUUGUUGCAUCCUACUCACCUAGGACAUCACCUUUCCUGAUUGACUUCUGGAUCGAAUUGAAACUGGGAUGUUGGGUUUCUUGAUUUUCUCAUGACAGUCGUUUUCCUGCCAGAUCUUAUAUUUGCCAAGACCUGCGUGCGGUGAGAUCAGUCAUGGAUGGUUUCAGUCUAUGCAUCUUCACGGCUGGGAGCAUGAAAAACCUUCACUACGAAAGGAUGGAGAAACUCAAAGUACUGAUGGGACACAGUAGGUGUCCGGUUUGGUCGAAGCUCUGAUUUAUACGAUAGACGGUGCGUGGGAGAAACAGAAAGAUUGAAAUCUGUAGAUAGCUUUGGCAGAUGAAGCUGACUUGCACUCGCCAGUUGUGUUACCAAAUGCCAUGCCAUAUAUUCUAUUUUUUCUGUUUUGUAGGCUUACUGCGCCCUGAUUCUUCAAGAGGAGUUCAUGUGUGCUAUUAAG